CCCUUAGAUGUUCUGGGCUGCACGCGCGCUACACUGAUGCGCUCAACGAGUUUACGACCUUGCCCGGAAGGGUUGGGUAAUCUUUUUAAAACGCAUCGUGAUGGGGAUAGAUUAUUGCAAUUAUUAAUCUUUAACGAGGAAUUCCUAGUAAGCACUAGUCAUCAGCUAAUGUUGAUUAUGUCCCUGCCCUUUGUACACACCGCCCGUCGCUACUACUGAUUGGGUGUUCAAGUGAGAUGCUUAGACCCUUGUUGCAUGGUUCAUUAUUGUGCUCCGAAAGGAAAAAGUUUCAAGCUUGAGUGUCUAGAGGAAGUAAAAGUCGUAACA
rnacentral:rRNA from 1 species